rnacentral:piRNA from 1 species
UAGAUCUACAGGGCUCUUUCAGUAUGGCA